rnacentral:rRNA from 1 species
UGUGUAGGCGGAAAAGUAAGCGUCUUGUGAAAGCCCCCGGCUUAACCGGGGAAUUGCUCGGCGAACUGUUUUUCUUGAGGCAGACAGGGGUGCGUGGAACUCUUGGUGGAGCGGUGGAAUGCGUAGAUAUCAAGAGGAACGCCAGUGGUGAAGACGGCGCACUGGGUCUGAACUGACGCUGAGACACGAAAGCGUGGGGAGCGAACAGGAUUAGAUACCCUGGUAGUCC